rnacentral:rRNA from 1 species
CCUACGGGUGGCAGCAGUAGGGAAUAUUGCUCAAUGGGGGAAACCCUGAAGCAGCAACGCCGCGUGGAGGAUGAAGGUUUUAGGAUUGUAAACUCCUUUUGUGAGAGAAGAUAACGAUGGUAUCACAUGAAUAAGCACCGGCUAACUCCUAGCCAGCAGCCGCGGUAAUACGGAGGGUGCAAGCGUUAUUCGGAAUCAUUGGGCGGAAGGAGGGAGCAGGCGGGCUUGUAAGUCAGAUGUGAAACCCUGUAGCUUAACUCCCGAACUGCAUUUGAAACUAUGUGUCUGGAGUGUGGGAGAGGUAAGUGGAAUUCUUGGUGUAGGGGUAAAAUCCGUAGAUAUCAGGAGGAAUACUCGUGGCGAAGGCGACCUACUGGAACAUUACUGACGCUCAUGCACGAAAGCGUGGGGAGCAAACAGGAUUAGAUACCCCAGUAGUC